rnacentral:rRNA from 1 species
GUCGAGCGGACAGAUGGGAGCUUGCUCCCUGAUGUUAGCGGCGGACGGGUGAGUAACACGUGGGUAACCUGCCUGUAAGACUGGGAUAACUCCGGGAAACCGGGGCUAAUACCGGAUGCUUGUUUGAACCGCAUGGUUCAAACAUAAAAGGUGGCUUCGGCUACCACUUACAGAUGGACCCGCGGCGCAUUAGCUAGUUGGUGAGGUAAUGGCUCACCAAGGCGACGAUGCGUAGCCGACCUGAGAGGGUGAUCGGCCACACUGGGACUGAGACACGGCCCAGACUCCUACGGGAGGCAGCAGUAGGGAAUCUUCCGCAAUGGACGAAAGUCUGACGGAGCAACGCCGCGUGAGUGAUGAAGGUUUUCGGAUCGUAAAGCUCUGUUGUUAGGGAAGAACAAGUACCGUUCGAAUAGGGCGGUACCUUGACGGUACCUAACCAGAAAGCCACGGCUAACUACGUGCCAGCAGCCGCGGUAAUACGUAGGUGGCAAGCGUUGUCCGGAAUUAUUGGGCGUAAAGGGCUCGCAGGCGGUUUCUUAAGUCUGAUGUGAAAGCCCCCGGCUCAACCGGGGAGGGUCAUUGGAAACUGGGGAACUUGAGUGCAGAAGAGGAGAGUGGAAUUCCACGUGUAGCGGUGAAAUGCGUAGAGAUGUGGAGGAACACCAGUGGCGAAGGCGACUCUCUGGUCUGUAACUGACGCUGAGGAGCGAAAGCGUGGGGAGCGAACAGGAUUAGAUACCCUGGUAGUCCACGCCGUAAACGAUGAGUGCUAAGUGUUAGGGGGUUUCCGCCCCUUAGUGCUGCAGCUAACGCAUUAAGCACUCCGCCUGGGGAGUACGGUCGCAAGGACUGAAACUCAAAGGAUUUGACGGGGGCCCGCACAAGCCGUUGGAGCAUGUGGAUUUAAUUCGAAGCAACGCGAAGAACCUUACCAGGUCUUGACAUCCUCUGACAAUCCUAGAGAUAGGACGUCCCCUUCGGGGGCAGAGUGACAGGUGGUGCAUGGUUGUCGUCAGCUCGUGUCGUGAGAUGUUGGGUUAAGUCCCGCAACGAGCGCAACCCUUGAUCUUAGUUGCCAGCAUUCAGUUGGGCACUCUAAGGUGACUGCCGGUGACAAACCGGAGGAAGGUGGGGAUGACGUCAAAUCAUCAUGCCCCUUAUGACCUGGGCUACACACGUGCUACAAUGGACAGAACAAAGGGCAGCGAAACCGCGAGGUUAAGCCAAUCCCACAAAUCUGUUCUCAGUUCGGAUCGCAGUCUGCAACUCGACUGCGUGAAGCUGGAAUCGCUAGUAAUCGCGGAUCAGCAUGCCGCGGUGAAUACGUUCCCGGGCCUUGUACACACCGCCCGUCACACCACGAGAGUUUGUAACACCCGAAGUCGGUGAGGUAACCUUUUAG